rnacentral:misc_RNA from 1 species
CUACCGCAUCGCCCGCUUCUGCCACUUCGACGUCUCCGUUGGGAGUGGUGUUGGUGGUUGUCCUUCACUGUUUCGCUUUUCCUCGUAAUCGAUAGUAGGCCUGGUCAUGAGCACCCCCAAGACAUCGCCGCGCCACCGCGGUCGAGAUGGCAAGUCGGACAACAAGUCCGGUUGUACUGCUGCCGGGGGGUCCAAGCCGUCUACGCCUUCCGGUGCCGCCGCUGCUGCGAGGGGUGGCGGCGGCAUCGGCUUCUCAUACCAUCCAACUCAUAAUCUGCAGUUUCUCAAGGAGCUCCUGCGGCCAUCUGCGGUCAGUCGCAUCGCUGCUGUGGCGCGCGCCGUCCAUAUGGACGACGACCAUGGUGCUGCGGCCGGUGCCGUUUGUGGCCCAUUACCGUCGUACGCCAGCGCACUCGGCUGGUCCGGCGCCGCCGCGUCGUCGCUAUCCCCUCUGCCGCCUCCGUCGUACGGGUCCGCGAUGCCGCCCUACCAGCCGACGGGCAAGAGCCCGGCACCACCGCCGUUUGCAGAGGCAAACGCUGCCACGCCCUCGAGCACCAACAGCUUGGCUCACAGACAUCCGGAUGUCAACGCCCUCGCCUCUGCGGCGAUGUCCGUCCCGUCCUUGCCACUUGUGCUAGAGUGCGCGACGCAGCUGAGCGGUAUGUUGGCCCAGUGGCGCGUGAGCAACGAGGGCGAACGACGCCGUCCGCCACCGCCACCUUUCGCCCCAGUACCCAAGUCCUCGUACGGCACACCCGCUGGGCAGGGCAACCAAGGUGGUGUCAUGCUCCCAACGGCAGCUGUGUGCGGCACUGCGGAUGCAGGGCCGCCGCUAAAGUCGAUCCCACAGCCAGCCGGCGGUGGCGGCACUGUGGUACCGCCACCGACCCGUCCUUCGGCGCAGCGCAUCCUGCAGCUGAUGGACUUGAUUCUAUGGUACUGCCUCUCCACAGCCGAGGAUGCGCAGCUGGCGACGGGUGGCCGCUCACGCGGGACGAGCGGUAUGGCGACUCCGGCACCCCUUCCCGGUGCCACCGCCACUGGAGCUGGAGGGGUCGCCAAUCAGGCUCUGGGCGGCAGCAGCGGUAGCAGCCCGUUUGGCCUUCGUGGCAGCCGUGGCGGACGGUCGGGAAGCGUCUCGGUUGCUGGUGGGCGGCCAGGCUCCGUUGGACGCAGCGGCAGCGGCAGUGCGGACCCUUUGGCUGCGCAGGACUGGCUGGACGGCCGCAUGUCUUCCGCGCCGCCGGCCGCCGGAGCACCGACCAUCACCAUGUCGGAUGACCAGUUGGGAGAACGACUCUUCCGUCUUGCUGUGGAUGCCGUUGUGCUCCUGCAGGGGCCGCGCAGCCAACCGAUGCCUUCAUUAUCGUCGACCUUGUCGCCGUUGUCGCGCUCUCAGGUCGCAGACACGGCGAGCCACAUUGGCAACAGCAGCGCCGUCGCCGUCGCUUCGGAUACAAGAGGUGGCCUAGCACCACCGCCUGCUGAGGACGCCACUGACAACGACGCCGCCACAGCGAUGGAGCUGCAGACGAUGGCGCUGUGGACUCUGGCCGCCGUCCUCGUGCGCUUUACAGACUCCCCGUUCAACGCCACCGUCUUCCUCCCUGUGCUGUUCCCGCAGGUGGACGUGCGCAGCUUGGCCGGCGCACCGCUGCGCCACCCUCUUCUGCAGCCUCUCCUUCGCGGGGACCCGUGCAACACCUCGCUUCGAUGCGGUGCGGCAGCGGCUCUGACAGCGCUUCUGCACAAGCUUCGCUCUACGUUGCAGUACGCCGAGGAGCCGCCGACGGGCCGCCAAGCGGCCUUCCUCUCCCUUGCUGCCCAGUGUGGCAUGAUCCUGACUUCACUUCACGAGAGCCUGUGCUGGGGGCUGGUGCAGUCUCAGCAACAGCAGCCACAGAACGCCGGUGACGGCACUGUGGCAACGACCCCGCUGUCGGCUGCUGCCGUGCCGCUUCUCAACACAUACGCGACGGUUGUGUCGGUCACCCCGUACCACCGUUGCCCUCGCUCACGCGAGGUCGCCCUGCGGACGCUGCAGCUCCCCGUGAUGCACUUCUUCCUGGCCCACGACGAGGUCGGCGCGUUCGUGCCCGCAACUGUGCUCGUGUCCAACAUCUUGAAGAACGACGCGAUGCGCGUGGCGGCGGCGCAGCUGCCCGAGACGGCCGAGGCGCAGACUGGGCUGCAGGGUCGCAGUGAGGGCGAUGAAACCCUAGCCACCGGAGGCGACCGUGCUGCUGUUGCCGCGAGCUUCCUGCAGGCGAUGCUGAGUCACGCCGACACCCGAGUCGAGGUGUGGCGCUGCAUGGUGCCCCUCUCUCGGCUGUAUCCGCGUCUGGUGAACAACGAGUUUGAGGCGUUAAUGACCGCCUCGGUGAAGGUUGCGUCGGCGCUCACGGCGUGGGAAGCCGCUGAGGAAGCCGCGGAGGCGGCUGCGAUGGCGAGCGUCUCAGCUGUCGUGGAGCGUGAGGACGACCUUACUUCGCAGGGGCAGCUCUCUCCCGCGCCGUCCGCGUCCGCUACGCUGUCACGCCCCAUGCAAUCUGCUGCCGGGGGCGGUGACAACAACGCCGAGGAGCGGAGCGUACCUCCGCCGAUUUACGGGGAGGGAGAAGGCGCCGAUCCGGAUGCUGGCGCCGCGCCACCGUCGCCGCAGCGUAGCCGAGCGCCAACAGCCUCACUCGACGCUUUCGCGGAGUGCCUGCGCACGUGGUUGCACUAUAUGGGCUACGUGUGGAAGGCGUUCGACGACAACGCCAGUGACCCAGCGCAGCGGCCGGAGGGGCAGGUCGACCGAGCCUCUGUGGAGCACAAGCAGCGCAUCCACGAGGAGUUGCUGCGCCCCGCUAUGCGGCUGCGUCGCUGCGGCGCGGACGUGCGUACCAUGACGCUUCGGUGCAUUGCACAGAUCGGCAACGAAUACAUGUCCACUGUGGCGGACCGCAGCUUGUGCGAGGAAUUUGUGGCGUACGUGCAGUCCUCAGCAGCGGACGCGCAGCCGCGCGUGCGCGGGGAGGCCCUGACUACUUUGGGCGUGUGGCUCUGGCAAUACACCUCGAUGGACGACUUUGCCUGCGUCGCCAUCGACAGUGCCGUGCACUCGCUUACGACGGAUCCAAACCCGGUAGUGCGCACCAAGGCUGCCUUCGCGCUCUCCAAUGUGACCGGGCGGCUGCCGGAGGGAUCGUGCGCAGUCGUGCGCAACUCGCCAGACUACAUCGCGACGCUCUGCAGCACCGCCAUGCACGCGGCUGUGAUUGACGCUGAGAGCGGCGUGCAGGGACAUGGCAUCCGCAUGAUGAACCACCUUCUCCAGGUGCUCACCUUUGAGGAGCUGAUUAGCGAGGUGGAGGAGUUCGAGGAGGGCGUUGCAGAGGGCUUUCUGCGCGUGCUGUUGGAAUGCCUGCGCGCCAACAACACGCGUGGCGGCCACAAUACCCACCAAGAAGGCGACAGCGUAGGCGAAAGUGGCGGCUCCGGUGCGGCUUCUCUGCGCUAUGCCGUGCCACGCGAGGCGAAGCACCGCUGGAACGCGGCGUGCGCUCUUGGCAUGGGGCUUUCCCGCGAGGAGGUAUUCGAAGCGGAGCCAAAGUACGCCGUGGAAGCUGUCGAGGCGCUCUGCACUGCCGUGGUGCGCGACCACAUCUUCAAGGUGCGCACCCAGGCUGCCGGGGCCCUCGGUCGCAUCCCGGGCCACUGUCUGAGCGGCACCUACACUGCGACGGACAUGACACCAACCGUUGUUGCGUCGCUGUGCAAGGCGCUGGAGACAGCGACGUCCACCGAGAACUUCCGGCAGUACAAGGAGCAGGGCUCACUGCACGAUGCUCUGCGCUCUGCCCUGGCGGUUAUGAUGGCUUCCACCACCCCCAGUAACGCGCUGGAGAAGGUGUUCACGAGUCACAUGAAGGUGCUGCAGAAGGAGGGGCUGUUGUAGGGCGGGGUGGAGAGCUCGAGGCGCGAGUGCAUCGAAGGCUCAGUCGCCGUGUCCUCCCGUGGGGGGAGGUAAGGAGGGAGGAGGGCACUGAUGCCAAGCCGCACGUUUCGAAUCGGCAGACACCGCCGCAAGGCAAAAGACAUAAAAGGUGCGCUGAAGUUGCCGUUUGCGGCGGCGUUUCAAGCCUAAGCGGCAACUGCCGACGCACGCCGAUGCGCACGUCGGCGUCGAAGGAGUGUGUGCACGUGUGUGCGUGUGUGUGUGUGUGCGUGCUUAGGUGCCUCCCCCCUCCACUCGUUUAAGGGGCGGAGCAGCGGGCGGAAGGGCUUUGUGGGCUCGUCUUUGUGUGCCUCCGCGUCCACCGAAAGAUGAUGGAGACGAAGAUGGGGUGAGCGACUCGAAGGGGUCGGUGCGCGGUGAUUCUUGUGCGGUGCCAUGCAUAUACCGUAUGCACCUGCUUUUCUCAUCGUACUCCUUCGUUGAAGGAAAAUGAAGGAUAGCCCUCUCGCCCAUCCUCUCGCCCACCGCUCCCUCCUUUCCGGACUUCCACUUUAGCCUCGCCACACAUCCACAGACACAAGCACACACGCAUGCACCACAUCGUGGAUGAUUCGGUCAAAGGGCUCCGCCGUUCAUGGGAGGUUUAGGGGGAGAUGAAGCACUGAAGGAAGAGGUGGCCGAGCGCUAGGGACGGUGGGGAUGGAGGGUAACUUGAUCACCGCAUCAUUUC